rnacentral:tRNA from 1 species
CCCUGGGUACUCUAGUGGUGAGGAUGCAGCGCUCUUACCGCUGUGGCCCGGGUUCAAUUCCCAGUCAGGGA